rnacentral:rRNA from 1 species
GAUGAACGCUGGCGGCGUGCCUAAUACAUGCAAGUCGAGCGAACGGACGAGAAGCUUGCUUCUCUGAUGUUAUCGGCGGACGGGUGAGUAACACGUGGAUAACCUACCUAUAAGACUGGGAUAACUUCGGGAAACCGGAGCUAAUACCGGAUAAUAUUUUGAACCGCAUGGUUCAAAAGUGAAAGACGGUCUUGCUGUCACUUAUAGCUGGAUCCGCGCUGCAUUAGCUAGUUGGUAAGGUAACGGCUUACCAAGGCAACGAUGCAUAGCCGACCUGAGAGGGUGAUCGGCCACACUGGAACUGAGACACGGUCCAGACUCCUACGGGAGGCAGCAGUAGGGAAUCUUCCGCAAUGGGCGAAAGCCUGACGGAGCAACGCCGCGUGAGUCAUGAAGGUCUUCGGAUCGUAAAACUCUGUUAUUAGGGAAGAACAUAUGUGUAAGUAACUGUGCACAUCUUGACGGUACCUAAUCAGAAAGCCACGGCUAACUACGUG